AGAGAUGAGAGGGAGGGAGAGUCAUGAGCAGAACAGUUCUACUGAACCUUUUGGUUUUACAGACCGCAUAGUCUCUUUGCGCAUGAGAUAAUUGUUUAGACGUUUCUGUGAAUCACACGUCCUCUCCAUUUUGGCAAGAUCACGUUUGUUCUGACUAAAUAAAUACCUAAAAGAAACGAGUGAUUCACAAGAUUGGGACCCCAAAACAGUUUGUGGUUUGGAGGCAGCACAGGGCGGCUAGGAAGGGGUGGAGUCUAGGGAGGAGAGAAUCGAGUGCUGGAGAAGGAGGUAGAACUGAAGGGACAGCAGGAGGGAUUUGGCCCCAGAGGGAGCACUUAACUGCAACACUUCACAGUGUAAAAAUACUCAUGACAGUCCUCCUUUGAAGAGGGUGAAACAUGACUGGUCACAUUCUCUGUGUAUGUUUGUAUGUAUGCAUAUAAAGGCAAUCGCAGAAUCCACAAAGCUGACCAUCGUGAGAGAGAGGGAUGGAAUGUUUCCCCUAUCAUACUUCCCUCAAAUUGCCGUCUCUCUGGCCUGUCAGAGGCAAUUAUCUAAGCAAACAGCACCCUGGGAAGUCUGCCUUUCCAGUCAGCUCUGGUGAGUGUUCUCCGUCUUCUCCUGCCCCUGUGCCAUCCCUUACAGAGCUGGAGUCAUCUGCAUGUAGACAGAGGAAAAACAUAAGGAACCACUUCAAGAUGGAACCAUCUUCUCUGAGCUGCGAGGCAACUGCAGAGGAUCCACAUCUGCAGUUGUGACUGACUGGGUCGUCGGAGCAGACCCCCGGAUCGGAUGAGUGACUCCUUCAUCCGUCCACAGCCUUCCACACAGCCUUCAGCUCUCAUUAUUACUCGACCAAAUGGAAAGUUUCAGUAAGAACCUGGUGUGGAUUGUGAGGGGAACUGAAGAAGAGGGACCACCUGUGAGAUCCCCAUGUGUGUACACUGAUUUCAAGAAAACUUCUCCCAAAGUUCACAAUUUGGAAGGAAAAUAAAGAAAUGCAAUAGCAGUAAAAACCACUUCCCUCGGGCUGUUUUGGACUGUAUUUUUAGAGGGUGUGUGUGUGUUCGAAGAGUGCACUGGCCAACCGCCAUCUGUGAGCCUAAGUGGCAAUCUAAAGUGUGUGAGCUCUGGUUACACCACCUUUCUCCCCGCUCCUCCCAGCGCUACAUGACUGGCGUACUCUGGGCUGCUUUGUCUUUGAAGCCUGCGGCGGCGGGAACUUGGAUCUGCCAGUGUCGGCGGUUUAACACUCUUUGAGCACAACGCCACGACAAACCCCUCUGAGGGACAACACCGCAGACUGUAGCUAGGACACCUGAACACCUCAUUAUCACUCCGCUGCUAGGACAACUGUGCCACACACACACACAAGCCAGGCCCAGCACCAGUCAUACUUCAUGACAUCCUCUGCAAACCCUUUCUCAGGCAUUUUGCAAUGUUUUCCAUGUUGGUUUUGAAGUUAUUUUAUCUAAAUCUGUUUUUAGUGUACACAUGUUUAUGAAGCUCUUCCAAGGGACUGAACUCACAGCUCUGAAGUUGCAAGCUCAAUGUGCAUCUAAUAGAACGACUGAGGCCAAUAAACUGCGUCUCCCAGACCUUCCUUGUAGCCCUCUAGGUUCCAUUCAGUCUGAUGUUUUCACUUGAAUGUACUUUCAAAUAAUAAAAUGAUUGAGUGCCCGGACUGCACAUAAAUGUGAACACAGACACAGGGUACACAUGUCAAAAAUCAUUCCACAGUUCAGCUGCAUUCAAUAAUACCAUACCCCCAUUCUUUUGAUCAGUUUCUAAACUAUAAUCAUCUGCCAAAUGUCUUGCCUACAAAAACACAGUCAUAUAGGUUUCAUGAAAAAGCAUUCGCUUUCUGAUAUACAUCCAAAUAUCACUCUACCCCCUAAAAAAUACCCCACCCCACCUUCCUCUCCACCCAUCAAAAACUCUGUGAUUUACAGAAAGUCAAACAAAGACAUAAAGUAGGAGAGUUGUCAGGUUUCCCUAUAAAACAAACUCCUUUCCCCCAAUUUCUUUCGUUCUUCCUUUUUUCUUUUCUUUCUCUUCUUUCUUUCUGGCCUUAGUUUCUUCCUCAGGAGAGGAAGGCAAACUGGGCACAACAACGUGCUACAUUUCACACAUUGACUGCCUGUGUGUGUGACAGGGCUUGUUUGUCUAACCCCUCCGGGUGUUGACUUCCACGUCUGUGCAGAGUGGGGAUCAGCCUUACAUGGCCUGCUUCAGAAACUCGAGAACUGAGGUCUGUUACGCCCGGGCCCUUGGCCAUUGGUGGCCCUCUGUUUUGUUAUAGGGUCAUGUCCUUCAAGGAUUUUAAUUUCAAGACACUGGAUAUUAGAACAUGGGUAUAGGAGGGGUGCAAUAUGUAUUUAAGAAAACUCUACGGUGUACUUGGUUUAUCUGAUGCAGCGCAACCGGAUUAUAACAGAAAAUGUGAACUGUUGGUUCAGUGAUCUAUAUCAAGUUUACCUAAAGGUUCUUAGUCAGUAGUUGGAUUAUGUUGUUGGCCAAUAACAAGUCUUGUCCGCUGAGUUGUGGCUGGCACUUACAAGCUAGCUAACCUUCAGAAACAAAGACUAGCUGAAAAACCUUUUCCAAGAUUCCAAAAUUCCCAAAUUUUCCAAGACCUUGACUCUCUGCACGCACAAAUUCUAUCGGGCAUGAACAUCCAGUUGAGAUGCUUGGCCACUCACAGAAUUAAGACCCCUCCACUGAAUCCCACCAUGAUUUGACCUGACAGGCGCCAGAACCCUGCAGUGCCAGAGUUCCCCUUCACCCCUCAUCCCCAGGCAGAUCAAAGCCUCUGCUCAACUCCCAGCGCCACGGAUCCAAACAAGCAAUAUUUCCUCUUAAGCUAUAUACUAAUUACUCUGUCAUCUUCUCUGCUGUUACAGCGUAACUGGAGAGGCAAAACGAAAGAGAUAUUGUUUUUCUACCUACACAAAUUGGACCUCGAGAGUACCGACAGUUAGACACUUUCAAAGUUUGG